UCUCUCUGAAUCUGCGAACGGCUCCGCAUACCAGUUGUAAACCAUAGCGAGCAAACCGUGGCGGCAUCGCAAGGCGUCGUCGCGGUUAAUAAGGAUAACCCUGGUAAUUCUGAGGCUAAUACAAGAACGUACAACCCACCCGACCCGCAAGGGAAGGGGGGGGAAUGUGUGACCAGGCACGCAAAUUCAAACUGGGAGUGGCCACACGUUCAGACCGUCAUACCAAACAGUUGCUCGCUUUGAAAGUCCUCGUGAUAAACGGCGGGCUUCUGGGCGGCUCUCGCUGUGUGCUUCUGACCUAUCAACUAGAUGGCAGCGUAACGGACAUGCUAUGGUGACAACGGGUACAGAGGAUAAGGGUUCGAUCCUGGAGAGUGGGCCUGAGAGAUU
rnacentral:rRNA from 1 species